GAUGAACGCUGGCGGCGCGCCUAACACAUGCAAGUCGAACGAUUAAAGCACCUUCGGGUGUGUAUAAAGUGGCGAACGGCUGAGUAACACGUGGGCAACCUGCCCCUUUCAUUGGGAUAGCCACGGGAAACCGUGGAUAAUACCGAAUACUUCGAGACUUCCGCAUGGAAGACUCGAGAAAGCUCCGGCGGAGAGGGAUGGGCCCGCGGCCUGUUAGCUUGUUGGUGGGGUAACGGCCUACCAAGACAAUGAUGGGUAGCUGGGUUGAGAGACCGACCAGCCAGAUUGGGACUGAGACACGGCCCAGACUCCUACGGGAGGCAGCAGUGGGGAAUCUUGCACAAUGGGCGAAAGCCUGAUGCAGCGACGCCGCGUGCGGGAUGAAGGCCUUCGGGUUGUAAACCGCUUCCAGCAGGGACGAGGCGAAAGUGACGGUACCUGCAGAAGAAGCCCCGGCUAACUACGUG
rnacentral:rRNA from 1 species